GACGAACGCUGGCGGCGUGCUUAACACAUGCAAGUCGAACGGAAAGGCCCUGCUUUUGUGGGGUGCUCGAGUGGCGAACGGGUGAGUAACACGUGAGUAACCUGCCCUUGACUUUGGGAUAACUUCAGGAAACUGGGGCUAAUACCGGAUAGGAGCUCCUGCUGCAUGGUGGGGGUUGGAAAGUUUCGGCGGUUGGGGAUGGACUCGCGGCUUAUCAGCUUGUUGGUGGGGUAGUGGCUUACCAAGGCUUUGACGGGUAGCCGGCCUGAGAGGGUGACCGGCCACAUUGGGACUGAGAUACGGCCCAGACUCCUACGGGAGGCAGCAGUGGGGAAUAUUGCACAAUGGGCGGAAGCCUGAUGCAGCAACGCCGCGUGCGGGAUGACGGCCUUCGGGUUGUAAACCGCUUUCGCCUGUGACGAAGCGUGAGUGACGGUAAUGGGUAAAGAAGCACCGGCUAACUACGUGCCAGCAGCCACGGUGAUACGUAGGGUGCGAGCGUUGUCCGGAUUUAUUGGGCGUAAAGGGCUCGUAGGUGGUUGAUCGCGUCGGAAGUGUAAUCUUGGGGCUUAACCCUGAGCGUGCUUUCGAUACGGGUUGACUUGAGGAAGGUAGGGGAGAAUGGAAUUCCUGGUGGAGCGGUGGAAUGCGCAGAUAUCAGGAGGAACACCAGUGGCGAAGGCGGUUCUCUGGGCCUUUCCUGACGCUGAGGAGCGAAAGCGUGGGGAGCGAACAGGCUUAGAUACCCUGGUAGUCCACGCUGUAAACGGUGGGUACUAGGUGUGGGGUCCAUUCCACGGGUUCCGUGCCGUAGCUAACGCUUUAAGUACCCCGCCUGGGGAGUACGGCCGCAAGGCUAAAACUCAAAGGAAUUGACGGGGCCCCGCACAAGCGGCGGAGCAUGCGGAUUAAUUCGAUGCAACGCGUAGAACCUUACCUGGGUUUGACAUGGAUCGGGAGCGCUCAGAGAUGGGUGUGCCUCUUUUGGGGUCGGUUCACAGGUGGUGCAUGGCUGUCGUCAGCUCGUGUCGUGAGAUGUUGGGUUAAGUCCCGCAACGAGCGCAACCCUUGUUCACUGUUGCCAGCACGUUAUGGUGGGGACUCAGUGGAGACCGCCGGGGUCAACUCGGAGGAAGGUGGGGAUGACGUCAAGUCAUCAUGCCCCUUAUGUCCAGGGCUUCACGCAUGCUACAAUGGCUGGUACAGAGAGUGGCGAGCCUGUGAGGGUGAGCGAAUCUCGGAAAGCCGGUCUCAGUUCGGAUUGGGGUCUGCAACUCGACCUCAUGAAGUCGGAGUCGCUAGUAAUCGCAGAUCAGCAACGCUGCGGUGAAUACGUUCCCGGGGCU
rnacentral:rRNA from 1 species